rnacentral:lncRNA from 1 species
UAUUUUGGUGAAGCUGUGGUGCACUAUUAAUUUUCUGUUUCAAAAUGCAAUCUAAAGAUGCAAUAAAUAUGAUGACCUUGAUAGUUUUAAUGAAAUCUUCAAUUCUUGCAGCUAACUGUGUUUUGGAAAGUGAUUAAGCAAUAUUUCUCAAACCUGAUGAUUCUUGGAUAUUUAGCUAUUGUCCUCCAAAGAGUCAUCGUUUCACGUUUUCAAAGAUGUGCUUUGUGCUGAAGAUUCUUGUCAGAUAUCCUGUGCUUCCAGAGUAUUUUUAUCUUCAAUUUUAUUUAAUUUUCAUUUUGUUUUCAUAAGACAAUGUUUCAGAUAUGUAAUGGGGCAAACCACUAUAGAUUUCUGUUGGAUAGAAAAAUGAAAUGUUACUAAUAAGUUUAAAUUGACCCUUCGUUGACUAUCAGUACUGUUGAUACAUUUAUUAGAAUGUAUGUCUCAGAAGAUGGUUUCUGUUUAAAUUUAUGGUCAAGUUAAAACAACUGAAUUCUAAUACGGAUUAAAAACUCCACAUAAAUAUUUUUCCCCAUGCGUCUUGGGUUAUAAUUUUCCUUUUAGACUUGCAAAUAUGUUUUUAUUGCAGUUUUGUCUCCAUCUGUACUGUAGAAUUAUAAGCCUUGUGCUCUUUAUCUCUGCAUUUUCCACUUCUACAUGAUGCAAUUAAGAUGCCAAUGAAAAAUAUUGUGAACAUUGUUCUCGGGACACUUGUACCAUACUUGAACAGUACUAAGUCAGGUGUAACAUGGAAAGCUAAGGGUUUCACCUUCUGAUUUUGACAUAAUUGAAAAUUUUCUAUAAUGGGAAGGUGUUUAUAGGAAAGUAAUGUGAUAUUUCAGGUUUGAGAAUUUUAUUACUGCUUUCAUUUCCCAAUUAAAUGAUACUUAACACCUGGGAAAACAGGACAGCUCAGAUUGUCGAGUUAGUAAACAUGAAUGAUGAAAAAACUACAUUUGAAAUCUCCAGAGACAUUAAACAUUUUAGUGCUAGUUUAAGCCAUUAAAAGUAAAGUUUAAGUUUACAUCAUUGUCUCAAGUGUGGCUGUAAAAAUCAGAUCUAGAGUUUAGAGACAUACUUGUUAAUUUCGGAGCACAGGUUUGAUGUUUAUGCUUCUAAAUAUAUUAAAACAUUUCUGAAUUGCAGUUGAGUUGAAUGGUUGGAGAAUGCUGACGAUGUGAUGCUGCACUGAAAAAAUUGGUCACACAAAACGUUUAUAUGUUUGACUUCAUAAGUAUUAUUUUAGGUCAUAAAGGUUAUAACAAAAUACACUUUAACACUGCUUUCUUUUUAGCAAGAGGUCACAGAUGCUAUUUUUUUUCUCAGUUUUUAAUGCUUUAAUUUGAAAGAAAAAUGCAUCCUAACCAUUCUGUCCUGUUGAUACGGAGAAAUUUUGGUGAUUUAUUAAAAGAGUUCUGAGGAGGAUGGGUACAUAGUUUUUCAACUGCAAAAAUGAUGUCAUCUCUUCAGUAAUUGUUAAAGUGUAAUUCUCUGCCUUCAUUAUCAAGUCCAGGACAGUGUUUAUUUUCAAUCGUUACAUUAUUUAAAGACUGAAAAUUCAUUGCAAUUAGAGAAUGCACAACCUCACAAAAAAGUGGUUGUGAUGCAAGGUUUAAAAGGGAAUGGUGGAAGGCAUGCAUGCCUUUCUAAAGGAUAUGUUAAGUCACCUGUGUACAUUGUAAUUAUGUGCUAUCAAACCCCCAAGAUGAUGAUGAUACAGCUUCUCAGUAAGAAUCCUUCUCAUAGUGAAGCACUGUUGAUGUGUUGUUCACUGGGUAUGUUGGGUAGCAGGAAAGGCUUAGAACUGAUUUUAAGAUGGCUACAUCUCUAGAAGACUAGUACACUAGCAUCAUCUUAGGCUUCUAAAUUAAUUCCUCAGUUUGGAAAGCAGUAUUAAUGUUUACAGUGUAACUCAUUUUCCAUAAUAAAGGAUUUUUAUCUUUGUCUACUGUAACUUAAGACAUGACUUUUAUAGCAUAAUUUUUUAUAAAGUAUGUGGUAUAUUGUGUCAAUCUUGGAAGGAAAGCUGUUACAUAUCGAUUGUAGGUCAUGUAUUUUACUAUAUGUUGCAUAGUAUUUUGCAUUCUAUAAAUGCAAAUGUUAAAACAUUGCAGGUCAGCAAAAUUAGAAGUCAUUUCUAGUCCUCAAAGCAGAAAUAAUUAGAAAUGUUAGUAACAUUUAAGUGCUUAUCAUAUGCCAGAUACUAUUCUGAAUAUUUUAUGUACAUUCAUUUAGUUGUCAUAUUGGCUUUAUGUGAGAGAACCGUCAUUAUACCAGUGUUGUCCAGCAUUGCUAGUAGGAAAUGGCAGAGCCACGAGUUAGACCUAGGUUUAAUCCUAUCCAUAUUCCAUGUUACAAAUUGACACGAUUUUCCAUAUUAAAAAUUUUCCAUUUAUUUUGUACCUCGUUCUCAUGAAUAGUAAUGUGACAAACUAAUACAUGAAGCAUUGCAAUAUGGAAUUUUGCAUAAUUUUGUUAGCUUUAUGUUAUUUGCUGAUACCAACUUUUGGUAGGAAGGAAAACAGGGAAGGUGAUGGCUGCCCUUCUGGAAUGUGUCCAUUGAAAAGAAAAUAGGCGUUUUGUCUCCUGCAAUCUUAGAGAAAGUUUUACAUACUUAAGUGGGGACCACAGGUAGGUGUGUACCUUAAAUUCAAAUCUACAAAUUUACAAAAUGUUUUCCUUUGUGUGCCUUUCCUAUGUCAAAUUAGCUAGAGGGAAGAGGAGAUGUAAGAAUGUCAUAAAUUUAACAGGUAAUGAUACAGAGAUUGGCCAUUACGCGCUCAGGAGAAAAACAACUAGGGUGUCUUGAAACCCGUGCAUUUAAUUUUAGAAAUGGCAAAUUUGUAAGUGCGUCAUGUAAGUAAGUUGAUCCUAAGUUUUAGGGUCUAAGUUGACCUCGAGUGAGCCAUGCAAAAAUAGCUUUAAAAUUAUACAUGAGGAGCUCAAAGUAUACUUGUGUAUUUUUUAGUAACAAUGAAAUUGUCAAAUUCCAAGAUUUUAAUAACAGGACAGUUCAACUAAUAAACUUUAUUGCAUAUAAGAUUUAUUGCAAUGUG